UCCUCGUUUCCAACCCUAAAAUCUUUUCCCCCUACAUCCGCUCAUCCCCUCCACUCCCUCGACAACGGUGGCGGCGGCCCCCUCUGGUGGCGGAGGAGGAGGGGGGAGAUGGUGGCGCGGCGGCGACCUUCCCCCCUCGUCAUCCUGGAUCCCACCGGACCCGAGGCGUGCGGGCGCGGCGGCGACCUGCAAGGGAAGGGCGACACUCGAAUCGAUCCAGCGCCAUGGAUCGUUCCCUGCGCGAGAAAGAGAAAAUGAGGGAGAGAGAAGGAAGGAGAGGAAGCAGAAAGAGAGAGGAAAGAGGAGAGGGAGGUGCAGCGUUGACCGACGGCUCGCGCGGUGGUGCGGCAGACGGCGGCCUCAGCGGGUGUGCGACGACACCACGCAGCUCCUGUGCCGCGCAACCCUCUCCUCGCAGGCUCAACAGGAGGUUCCCAAGCCAGCUCGGGCCGCUGCUACCUCUUCCUCGCCGCCCAACAGGUCGCCGUGCUGGGGGAGCAGGGUAGCAUCGGGUCCACAGGCUGGGGUGGAGGCCUUCCCAACUCAGACUGCGCGUCCUCCUCUUCGCCGCGUCAUCGCCCUGGCCAGCUGAGCACCAACCCGACGGCUCCGGCAUCCGAUGCCAACACAACGAGGUUAUACUCCAAUCAAACAUGUGAAUAUUUACCAGAGUGCUUCAAGAUCGAUCUGAUGAUCCACUACCGCUCUGCUGUUGGGACUAAUUUGGAUGGGAAUGGUGAUUUGAUGGUUGAUUAUGAUUACUUGGUUCUUGCUCUUGGAGUUACUGUGAAUACAUUCAACACUCCUGGUGUGAUGGAGCAUUGCCACUUUCUGAAGGUAGUGGAGGAUGCCCAAAAGAUUCGGAAGAGCGUGAUAGACUGCUUUGAAAAGGCGUCACUUCCUAACCUCAGUGAAGAGGAGAAAAGGAAGAUCCUUCACUUUGUGAUUAUCGGUGGUGGACCUACUGGGGUUGAAUUUGCUGUGGAGUUGCAUGAUUUUCUUGUCGAAGAUCUGGUGAAGCUAUAUCCUGCAAUUGAAGAAAACUCUCAACUCCUACUUGCGCUCCGCCUCUUCCUCCUUUUCAUCGCUCAAUAGGAGGCAGCUCAUCUGGCCGUGCAGCAGACCACGUCCUGAGCGGGUCGGUGACGGCGGUUGCAGCUGGUGCACGGCGAUUCCAACGACAACAGGAAUCUGCAACUUGUUAGACUUCUUUGCAACCCCAACAAGGCCCUCAUCUGCUUUGUCUACAUAUAUGCAUGAUUUCUAUGAUUGGAAUCAGAUAGCACUAACUAUGUGUCAGACUGCUAAUAUUUAUUUGCUUGAUGAUCCUUGAAGCGCACUCUACGCUCAUACAUGAUCCCACAUAUUCUAGAUGCUUUCUUGAGGCUUUGGCUAAAAAUCUGUGGUGUACGUCACUCAUCAGGUAACUCUGACGGGCUAAUGCCUUAAGCUGGGACAUACAACAAAAUACUUAUUUUAUGGGAGGAGUUUAUGGAACUGGGUAGUGCUCAUCAGGAUGCUCUUGCAGCAAUUGACACAAUCGAUGUGGCUAAUGGAGCCAGUGAGUAACCUUGCCACCCUUCAGUAUGGUUCCUAUCUUUAGACAGUCACAUCCACGUUCGUACUUUUAGAAUAGUUGUUGCAACGGGGAAGAGCAUUUCUGCAAUAGCAAGAUAUCAUGACCCAAUGGGCAUAGGCCGAACCAACCACCAUCACUAUUGCUUCAGGAUUAGAUAGCCAACUUCCACUCAUGAGCCUGUCGAGUCAAGUUUCAGACUGAUCAUGUAUCCCCUUGAUAUUCACUGGAUGGAAUCCCCUGUUUUACUCAAACUGAACCUUCUACAAACAUCGGAAAAGCAACAGUAGUAAAGAUGGACAGAAAUUCCAAAAAUAAGGUGUUUUUUAUGGAUGUAGCUGGUUGCGAUGAAGCUAAACAAGAAAUAAUGCUAUCACUUAUUACCUUUGUCCUUCAAAUUUGAGUAUAGGCCUGUGAAAUAAUGAAUAUUUGUGUCUCAUUGCUCCAGCAUGGUCAAUAAAGAUAUGUUGACCCAGGAAAUGUGGGUUUAUCAUAGGUCCUACUGUAUACGUUGAUAUAUGAAAUAUGACAUUUCCGGUUAUAUGCUAUCACUUAUUACCUCUGCCCUUUGCAUUGAGUAUAGGCCUGUGAAAUAAUGGUGUAUUUGUGUGUUGAUUCGUCUGUUUUCCUUCAUGUUCUGGUUAAGGUACCAGGACAGACCCAGAGUUAUUUGUAAAAAAGUGCUUUCCAAUGUACCAAUAUUUUGUAUCCUUUCUAAUGCUUAAAAAAGAGGCGAAUAAUUCUUUUAGAAUAUGUAAUAUCCGACAUGUGUAACGCACCUUAAGAGACUACUAAGUUAUCCUGUAUAAUUGGCACGCCCUACUUUUGUAGUAAUAAAUAUAUCAUGUGCUGCUCCAUACAGGUGAUACAUUGCAUUUACCAUAGUAUUUGAUUACAUAUGAUAACAUAAAAUCUGUUUUUUCCUUAGCGGUUCGGCACACUUAGUGCAUAGAAACAGAGUACAGGCAAAUUGAUUAGAUGCAUUAGUUAAGAACACUGAUUUUUUUUGGAAAGCUUCAUCAUGACAUCGAUAUUGGUUUCGCCUUACUGCCACUCAGAGGUUGGAUGGAGCAUCGAGGAUUUCAGGCUUGGGGUGGCCACAUGUUGCAAGAUAGCAGGAAGAGUUGGAUGUGUUCUGCAGAGACCAGGAGAGGGAGCUACAAUGGCAGGAGAAGAAUGCAACGAGGUGCGGUCUUCUGUUCGAUGCCAAGGGCCUGUCCGGCAGUGAUUUCCUCGGGAUGAUCUAGAUGAUAUAACAAAAGGAUUAUAUAUGCAUUUGUGUGCUUCAGAAAAGGUUACUGCUACAUUCAACUUUUCACCAGAAAUGAUUCGUAUAUCCUGAAGAUGUUGCUAGCGUCUUGAAGGAUUACUUAUAUUUGCUCCCUAAUUUCCUGGAUUAUACGAAGUGAGUUGGAUCAUCGAGGGUUGGCGAAACUGAUAUUCAAAUUUGUUUUGUUCUUUAGACCAGACAUUAGCCCUUUCUCUCUAUUUAACAUAUUUCAAGUUCUCAUGUUACAUUAUACUCCCUCCGUCCCAUAAUGUAAGACGUUUUUUGACACUAAUGUAGUGUAAAAAAAAGUCUUACAUUAUGGGACGGAGGGAGUAGUAAAUAUUCAAUUCACUUCUAUUUUGUAGACAGGUCAUUAGCCUUUUCUCUCUAUUUAACACAUUUCAAGUUCUCAUGUUACAUCAAAAGUACGCUGGUUAGGAUGUUUGCAACAUGCCGUGUGUUGUAAUCUUUGUCCACUGUACAUGCACAUAUUAAAUACUUUCAUUAGUACUUUUACAUA